rnacentral:rRNA from 1 species
CCUGACGCAGCGACGCCGCGUGAGGGAUGACGGCCUUCGGGUUGUAAACCUCUUUCAGCAGGGACGAAGCGCAAGUGACGGUACCUGCAGAAGAAGCACCGGCCAACUACGUGCCAGCAGCCGCGGUAAUACGUAGGGUGCGAGCGUUGUCCGGAAUUAUUGGGCGUAAAGGGCUCGUAGGCGGUUUGUCACGUCGGGAGUGAAAACUCAGGGCUCAACCCUGAGCCUGCUUCCGAUACGGGCAGACUAGAGGUAUGCAGGGGAGAACGGAAUUCCUGGUGUAGCGGUGAAAUGCGCAGAUAUCAGGAGGAACACCGGUGGCGAAGGCGGUUCUCUGGGCAUUACCUGACGCUGAGGAGCGAAAGUGUGGGGAGCGAACAGGAUUAGAUACCCUGGUAGUCCACACCGUAAACGUUGGGCGCUAGGUGUGGGACUCAUUCCACGAGUUCCGUGCCGCAGCUAACGCAUUAAGCGCCCCGCCUGGGGAGUACGGCCGCAAGGCUAAAACUCAAAGGAAUUGACGG